GACGAACGCUGGCGGCGUGCCUAACACAUGCAAGUCGAGCGAUGAAACCCUUCGGGGUGGAUUAGCGGCGGACGGGUGAGUAACACGUGGGUAACCUGCCUCAAAGAGGGGAAUAGCCUCCGAAAGGGAGAUUAAUACCGCAUAAUAUGUUUUGAUCGCAUGAUUGAAACAUCAAAGGAGUAAUCCGCUUUGAGAUGGACCCGCGGCGCAUUAGCUAGUUGGUGAGGUAACGGCUCACCAAGGCGACGAUGCGUAGCCGACCUGAGAGGGUGAUCGGCCACAUUGGAACUGAGACACGGUCCACACUCCUACGGGAGGCAGCAGUGAGGAAUAUUGCGCAGUGGGGGAAACCCUGACGCAGCAACGCCGCGUGAAUGAUGAAGGUCUUCGGGUUGUAAAGUUCUGUCUUCUGGGACGAUAAUGGCGGUACCAGAGGAGGAAGCCACGGCUAACUACGUGCCAGCAGCCGCGGUAAUACGUAGGUGGCAAGCGUUGUCCUGUAUUUACUGGGCGUAAAGGAUGCGUAGGC
rnacentral:rRNA from 1 species